GAUGAACGCUGGCGGCGUGCCUAAUACAUGCAAGUCGAGCGAACAGACGAGGAGCUUGCUCCUCUGACGUUAGCGGCGGACGGGUGAGUAACACGUGGAUAACCUACCUAUAAGACUGGGAUAACUUCGGGAAACCGGAGCUAAUACCGGAUAAUAUAUUGAACCGCAUGGUUCAAUAGUGAAAGACGGUUUUGCUGUCACUUAUAGAUGGAUCCGCGCCGCAUUAGCUAGUUGGUAAGGUAACGGCUUACCAAGGCAACGAUGCGUAGCCGACCUGAGAGGGUGAUCGGCCACACUGGAACUGAGACACGGUCCAGACUACUAAGGGAGGCAGCAGUAGGGAAUCUUCCGCAAUGGGCGAAAGCCUGACGGAGCAACGCCGCGUGAGUGAUGAAGGUCUUCGGAUCGUAAAACUCUGUUAUUAGGGAAGAACAAAUGUGUAAGUAACUAUGCACGUCUUGACGGUACCUAAUCAGAAAGCCACGGCUAACUACGUG
rnacentral:rRNA from 1 species